UACACUUGCCCUUCCAUAGAUUUGUGGGAGUCAGUCAGGAUCCACCCUAGGUUUGAGUUUAUGCAAGGUUUAGGCCAUUGGGCUCUUUCGUCUGUAGCGCUUCAAUCCAUAGUCUCUCUGCUCUCUUCCGUCUCCCUAUUGUCCAAUUUAUGUUUGUUUCCAGGCCCAUGAUCUCCAGGGACUGGAUCCCAUGUUGCUGGAAGUGUCUGCUAAUGGGUAUGGAUUGGUCCCCCCUUGUGAUGUUGCUGAGGUGUCCUGUCAGUCUGACUCUGAUGCUGUUACCUGUUUCGCCUAUGUACAUAACCCCUCUGUCUGAGGGCGGUGAAAAGGGUGCUUGUGGCCUGGUUGAAAUCCUCCUCCCUAGUACAUAUACGGUGGAAGCGGGCCAUUUAAAGAUA